rnacentral:rRNA from 1 species
UCGAACGGCAGCGCGGGGCAACCUGGGCGGCGAGUGGCGAACGGGUGAGNNNNNNAUCGGAACGUACCCUGGAGUGGGGGAUAACGUAGCGAAAGUUACGCUAAUACCGCAUACGAUCUAAGGAUGAAAGUGGGGGAUUCGCAAGAACCUCAUGCUCCUGGAGCGGCCGAUAUCUGAUUAGCUAGUUGGUGGGGUAAAGGCCCACCAAGGCAUCGAUCAGUAGCUGGUCUGAGAGGACGACCAGCCACACUGGAACUGAGACACGGUCCAGACUCCUACGGGAGGCAGCAGUGGGGAAUUUUGGACAAUGGGCGCAAGCCUGAUCCAGCAAUGCCGCGUGAGUGAAGAAGGCCUUCGGGUUGUAAAGCUCUUUUGUCAGGGAAGAAACGGUGCUUUCUAAUACAGAGCGCUAAUGACGGUACCUGAAGAAUAAGCACCGGCUAACUACGUGCCAGCAGCCGCG